GACGAACGCUGGCGGCGUGCUUAACACAUGCAAGUCGAACGCUGAAGCUUGGUGCUUGCACUGGGUGGAUGAGUGGCGAACGGGUGAGUAAUACGUGAGUAACCUGCCCUUGACUCUGGGAUAAGCCUGGGAAACUGGGUCUAAUACUGGAUACGACAUGUCACCGCAUGGUGCUGUGUGGAAAGGGUUUUACUGGUUUUGGAUGGGCUCACGGCCUAUGAGCUUGUUGGUGGGGUAAUGGCUCACCAAGGCGACGACGGGUAGCCGGCCUGAGAGGGUGAACGGCGACACUGGUACUGAGAGACGGCGCAGACUCCUACGGGAGGCAGCAGGGGGAAGUAUGACACAAUGGGCGAACGCCUGAUGCAGCGACGCCGGGUGAGGGAUGACGGCCUUCGGGUUGUAAACCUCUUUCAGAACGGAAGAAGCGAAAGUGACGGUACGUGAAGAAGAAGCGCCGGCUAACUACGUG
rnacentral:rRNA from 1 species